rnacentral:tRNA from 1 species
AUUUAUUUAAUAUAAAAAGUAUAAUUGAUUUCCAAUCAAAAGGUUUAAUUAAUUUAAAAUAAAUA